rnacentral:rRNA from 1 species
UGGGGAAUCUUGCACAAUGCACGAAAGUGUGAUGCAGCAACGCCGCGUGCGGGAAGACGGCCUUCGGGUUGUAAACCGCUUUCAGUUGGGACGAAGGUUCACGAGUUAAUAGCUCGUUGGACUAACGGUACCUUCACAAGAAGCCCCGGCUAACUACGUGCCAGCAGCCGCGGUAAUACGUAGGGGGCAAGCGUUGUCCGGAAUCAUUGGGCGUAAAGCGCGUGUAGGCGGCUCGAUAAGUCUGCUGUGAAAGUCCAGGGCUCAACCCUGGGAUGCCGGUGGAUACUGUCGAGCUCGAGUCCGGAAGAGGAGUGUGGAAUUCCUGGUGUAGCGGUGAAAUGCGCAGAUAUCAGGAGGAACACCGAUAGCGAAGGCAGCACUCUGGUACGUGACUGACGCUGAGACGCGAAAGCGUGGGGAGCAAAC